rnacentral:rRNA from 1 species
CGGGUGAGUAACACGUGGAUAACCUACCUAUAAGACUGGGAUAACUUCGGGAAACCGGAGCUAAUACCGGAUAAUAUAUUGAACCGCAUGGUUCAAUAGUGAAAGACGGUUUUGCUGUCACUUAUAGAUGGAUCCGCGCUGCAUUAGCUAGUUGGUAAGGUAACGGCUUACCAAGGCAACGAUGCGUAGCCGACCUGAGAGGGUGAUCGGCCACACUGGAGCUGAGACACGGUCCAGACUCCUACGGGAGGCAGCAGCU